CUAUGUCAUUCUUGCUAAUUAGGAGAACCAUUUUUUUAUUAUAAUCAUUUUAUUUAUUAUAAAUUACAUUCAAUAUUAUUAUUUUAAAAUAAUUAUUAUUUAUUUAAUGUAAAAAAAAAAAUGGCCAGAUUUCAUCUCGUUAUAUUUUACAACUUAAAAUAUUGUCCUCUAUGUUCCACAUGGUCAUAAAAGAACACAUUGAAAUUGUCAAUUGUCCUGUCCAUAAUAGUAUUCAUUGCUGCCUGAGCUACAGCCGCACCGAUAAUCGAAGUCGUUG